CACCGCGGUUAUACGAGAGACUCAAAAUGAUAAGCACCGGCGUAAAGGGUGGUUAAAAAUUCAGUAACUAAAGUUGAACAUUUUCUUAGCUGUUAUACGCAAUCGAAAAAAUGAAGACUAAUCACGAAAGUAACUUUAAAUAUUUGACCCCACAUAAGCUACUAAA
rnacentral:rRNA from 1 species